rnacentral:rRNA from 1 species
UACGGAGGGUGCGAGCGUUGUCCGGAAUUACUGGGCGUAAAGGGCUCGUAGGCGGCCAACUAAGUCGGAUGUGAAAUCCCCAGGCUUAACCUGGGAACUGCAUCCGAUACUGGAUGGCUUGAAUCCGGGAGAGGGAUGCGGAAUUCCAGGUGUAGCGGUGAAAUGCGUAGAUAUCUGGAGGAACACCGGUGGCGAAGGCGGCAUCCUGGACCGGCAUUGACGCUGAGGAGCGAAAGCCAGGGGAGCAAACGGG